AUAAUAUAUAGAGUAUACUAUCGGCUAAUGGGUACAACUCUAGCACCUCAAGCUAGAUUUACAAGUCCUAGAGGUGUCACCACUCUCAUGGAGGCUAAUAAAGAUAGAACCAAUGUCUUUGUCCCUAAGCCUUUGGUUUGGGAAGAAGUCAUCCAUAGUAAUGAAUGGCACUUUGAUGCUAUCACCCAACCCAUUCGAACCUACCCCGAAAAAUCUCAAAUACAA
rnacentral:lncRNA from 1 species